UUAAUAUUUUGGGUGUGUUCCAUUAAUUUUCCGAUAAUCGGUAUUGGUUCCGGCAGAGUCGCUGAAAGGGAACAAUGGCGGGUCAUGGUGGCGGCGGCGGCGGGCCGGCUGCGGCGCAGAUUCCCACCAGUUUCGGCCAUGAACUUAGGGCUUGCCUUCGAUGUCGGCUCGUAAAAACAUACGACCAGUUUCGGGAAUCUGGGUGCGAAAACUGCCCUGUCUUGCAGAUGGAGGACGAUCACGAACGUGUUGUUGAGGCAACGACCCCCAAUUUCACUGGGUUAAUCUCCGUCAUGGAUCCAUCCAGGAGCUGGGCUGCUCGUUGGCUCCGGAUUGGUAAAUUUGUUCCUGGCUGUUACACUCUUUCAGUCUCUGAAGCGCUCCCUCAAGACUUGCAGAAUCUAUGUGAAGAGGAGCAUGUUCCCUAUGUCCCACCAAAACGGGUGAAAAGCCCUCUGGAUCAUUGAUUCUGCUGCUCUGUAAGCAAAUUGAUAUUACCACAAGAAGCCUACCGUUUUUGUAGAUCAGAUGAUGCUUCUUAUGCAUAUAACAAAUAUGCUAUAGCAGGAAUUUUGGGCCAUUACGGGAAGGCCCAGUGAGAUUUCUCAUCAUCCUGCCCAGUGUGGUUGUACUUGUAUAGUUAUCAAUAUCAUAGCCAUUAGGCAAGCAAGAAUCGGAAAUCUACUCGUCAAGAGACCCAAAUCCCUCUCCGGAGGAAAGGUUAAAGAUUGUGAUGUCUCAAGCUCGCGUUUAUACCGACGUCAACGUUCAUCGCCCGCGGGAUUACUGGGAUUACGAGUCUCUCACUGUUCAGUGGGGGUAUACAUGUUAUAAAUGAAUAUCCUUGCGGCUUUCCCUGAAUUAGCGUCGUUUUCAUCUAUUGUCCUGUUUGUUCUAUUUUGGGUGAAGGGACAUAUAUAUUGAAUUUUUUUGUUUAAAAAAAUUAUUUAUGGCGGUUGGAAAUGCAUUAAUUCAGGCUUA